ACCACACGGCCCCUCGGGCCCGACCCGAGCCCAGUCAACGUUUUGACCCGAUCAAAUCGGCCCGUGACCCGAAACGACCCUACUUGGGCCCUACAACAGCCACGUAAAGUUUCGGGAUGAUCCGACGUUCUUUCAUGGGGUUACGGACAAUCCACGCCAAACAAGCGUCACGGGCCGACCGAGCCGGGCCAACGGGCCCUCGGGACCCGAAAACUGAAUUUUUUUCAUACAAACCCAUUAAAACACGUUACCGAGGUCUCACGCAAAAUUUCAUGCCAAUCCGACGUCGUUUGAUGGGGUUUUGAAAAAUUAUGAUUCCUCAAAAAUUUAAUGUCUGUUCCUGUCACUUAGCUUUUUGUGCAAAAUGUAUAUAUAGGGGAGGGGUGGGUGUUGAGCAGCCCAUGCCCGGGCAAGGCAUGCCAGCGCCCAAGCCAAAGGAGGCUGGUGGCGUGCGUAUAACAGCUCAAAUGCCCCAACGAUGACCGAGAACAAGCGCCCAUCUCCCCUCCUUCCCCCCCACCAAGCGCCCCUCCCCCCCAUGUUGCCUGCCCACUCGCACAGCUACUCGUGAUUUCAUGCCCAGCGACUAGUGAAUGUGCCUCGACGACCAGCAAACCUCGAAAAUUAUGAUUCCUCGUAAAAUUAAUGUCUGUUCCUGUCACUUUACUUUUUGUGCAAAAUGUAUAUAUAGGGGAGACCAGGGGCUUGAGCAACCCCUGUGCCCAAGCAAGGGUCAAAUGGAAGCACACGAGACGCGAGGUUUAAAGCCUAUACAAGCAAGGCGUCUGUCUCCCCAAGCCCCAUUGCCUAUAAAACAAGCCCGAUGCCUUGUAAAUGCCCCACACGAUGCCUAUAAACGACAACGAUGUUUGCUAGUUAAUCGAUCGACGCCCCACACCUUGCAGCAUGUUGCCUAGUAAACAAGCCAUGCUGCCUUGGAAGCGCCCCACAUCAUGGCAUGUUGCCUAGCACGCUGCCCUUGUUUCCCGCACGGCGACCUGAAAGCGUGGCCUGACGACGUGCUUGCCUUCGAAAAUUAUGAUUCCUCAAAAAAUUAAUGUCUGUUCCUGUCACUUUACUUUUUGU
rnacentral:rRNA from 1 species